rnacentral:piRNA from 1 species
AGAUGGGCUGCUUAGGAAGGAUUA